GAAAUUCCAAUCGAGCCCGGAGAUAGCUGGUUCUCCCCGAAAUAGCUUUAGGGCUAGCCUCAAGGUGAGAGAUACGGAGGUAGAGCACUGAAUGUCCUAGGGGGGAUUGCACCUACCGAAGACUAUCAAACUCCGAAUGCCGUCAUCUUAUACUUGGGAGUCAGACUGUGGGUGAUAAGAUUCAUAGUCGAAAGGGCAACAGCCCAGAUCG
rnacentral:rRNA from 1 species